rnacentral:lncRNA from 1 species
AUGACAAAAUGUCGUACUUCAGAGCAGAAUUUACCAUGGAAAGGAAUGAAGUGGAGAUGCAGAAUAAAUCUCACCUUCUCCUUUGUUUAUUACAAAAACAGUCCAUCUUUCCCACCAGCUUUACUUUGCAGGUGCAUCCUGAGAUGCUGUACCCGAGCAAACAGAGGGCUGCAAUACACCCAAGCCUCAGGGGCAGAGAAGCUGUUUGUACUCAGCUACACUCUGCAGUCGGCGUGGACUGACUUAGCAUGUGAAGCUCGUAACCGUGCUGUGUCAUUAGCUGCCUGCGGACACAGUAGAGAUGAAGGGUUGCAAAGUUCCCGAUUCAAUAAAAUACUCGAGGAACGUGACGCAUCAGAAAGCCUUCCCUGUGCUGAGCAACCCCGGAUCGCGGUGCCAUCGCAGUCUCUCCCCUCGCCGGGCGGUUGCGGGUUGGCCGCCAGAGGGCGCUUUGUUCCUGCACGGCGCGGGCGGAGGCGGAGCGAGGCGGGGCGCGGCCCGGCAUGCAGCGCGGCGCCGUUUGAAUGGCGCAGGCUGUGGGCGCUGGCUCCGGGUUGUAGCUUCCUGUCACAGUGUCUCCUGUCGGCGUGGGCCGUCCGGUACCAUGAGCGGCAGGUUCAUGUAACUUUUGGAUGUACACCGUCCAUUUCUGCGGGUCUGUUGCUGUUCAUUUUGCUUGUGUUCACUGCUGCUACUUUGUCUUUAGAUAUCCCCAACAAAACAAGGAAUCAACUUUUCUUUGCAUGAAAGAGGAGGGAAUUUGAGAUGAUUUAUUAAACAGGCAAGUAAGAAGUAACUGUUCAGGGCAGAAUUGUGUAAGCUGUCACUGUCACAGCGAUAGUUGCAAAAAUGAUUCUUCAGGAGCUGACGUUAAGGACCUUCUUGGAUCUGACAAGCUGAUUCUGUGGGAUUUAACUUCAGUAGCAGCUGG